UGUAGUCAUAUGCUUGUCUCAAGGAUUAAGCCAUGCAUGUCUAAGUAUAAGCAAUCUAUACUGUGAAACUGCGAAUGGCUCAUUAAAUCAGUUAUCGUUUAUUUGAUAGUACCUUACUACUUGGAUAACCGUGGUAAUUCUAGAGCUAAUACAUGCUAAAAACCCCGACUUUUGGAGGGGUGUAUUUAUUAGAUAAAAAACCAAUGCCCUUCGGGGCUCCUUGGUGAUUCAUAAUAACUUAACGAAUCGCAUGGCCUUGUGCCGGCGAUGGUUCAUUCAAAUUUCUGCCCUAUCAACUUUCGAUGGUUAGGUCUUGGCUAACCAUGGUUUCAACGGGUAACGGGGAAUUAGGGUUCUAUUCCGGAGAGUGAGCCUGAGAAACGGCUAACACAUCCAAGGAAGGCAGCAGGCGCGCAAAUUACCCAAUCCCGACACGGGGAGGUAGUGACAAUAAAUACUGAUCCAGGGCUCUUUUGGGUCUUGGAAUUGGAAUGAGUACAAUUUAAAUCCCUUAACGAGGAACAAUUGGAGGGCAAGUCUGGUAAUCG
rnacentral:rRNA from 1 species